rnacentral:lncRNA from 1 species
UUCACCUGCAGUCCUAAUGAGUGACCCUGACUGACUAUCUGAAGGUUACUAUACCUUCAGGACUUAGGAGUGUCCUUGACUGACUGUAUGAAGGGGAGUCUACCUGUGGUCCUAUGGAGUGACCCUAACUGACUUUCUGAAGAGGACACUGCCUUCAGGUCUUAGGAGAGACCCCCUUUGACUGCCUGAAGGGGAAUACACCUGAAGUCCUAAGGAGUGACACUCACUGACCUACCGGUAGAAGGACCUGCAGUCCUAAUGAGAAACCCUUACUAACUGUAUGAAGGGUAUCCUCCUACAGGCGAAAAGAGUGACACUAGCAACAAUCUGAAGGGGACUACACCUUCAGACGUAGGAGUGACCAUGUCUGACUGUCAGAAGGGGACUCCACCUGUAAUCCUAAGGAGUGACCCUGACUGACUGUCUAAGGGGACACCACCUGCAGUACUAAAGAGUAACCCUGACUGACUGUCUGAAGGUUAUCCCCCUACAUUCCUAAUUAGAGACAGUGAAUGACAGUCAGUAGAGUACUACACCUAAUAUUGAGGAGUGACACUGUCUAACAGUUUGAAGCGGACUCCACCUCCAUUCCUAAGGACUGACCCUGACUGAUGUCUGAAGGGAACUCCACCUCCAUUCCUGAGGAGUGUGUGUGACUGAUGUGUGAAGGGGACUCCACCUGCAGUCCUAAGCAGUGACCUUGACUGAUUGUCUAAUGGUGAAUACACCUUCUGUACUUAGGAGUGACCUUUUCUGACUGUCUGAAGGGGACUUUACCUGUGGCCGGUGGUGUAACCCUGACUGACAUUCUGAAGGGGACUAUACCUGCAGUCCUAAGGGCUAACCCUAACUAACUUUCUGAAGGGUAUCCUCCUCCAUUCCUAAGGUGUGACCCUGAGUGACAAUCUGAAGGGGACUAUACCUUCAAUCUUAGGAGUGACCCUGUCUGACUGUCAGAAGAGGAAUCGAUCUAAGUCCUACGGAGUGACCCUGAUGGACUGUCUGCAGGGUAUUCCACCUGCAUUCCUGAGGAGUGACCCUG